GACGAACGCUGGCGGCGUGCUUAACACAUGCAAGUCGAACGGAAAGGCCCUGCUUUUGUGGGGUGCUCGAGUGGCGAACGGGUGAGUAACACGUGAGUAACCUGCCCUUGACUUUGGGAUAACUUCAGGAAACUGGGGCUAAUACCGGAAAGGAGCUCCUGCUGCAGGGGGGGGGUUGGAAAGUUUCGGCGGUUGGGGAUGGACUCGCGGCUUAUCAGCUUGUUGGUGGGGUAGGGGCUUACCAAGGCUUUGACGGGUAGCCGGCCUGAGAGGGUGACCGGCCACAUUGGGACUGAGAUACGGCCCAGACUCCUACGGGAGGCAGCAGUGGGGAAUAUUGCGCAAUGGGCGGAAGCCUGAUGCAGCAACGCCGCGUGCGGGAUGACGGCCUUCGGGUUGUAAACCGCUUUCGCCUGUGACGAAGCGUGAGUGACGGUAAUGGGUAAAGAAGCACCGGCUAACUACGUG
rnacentral:rRNA from 1 species